UUUGGGGGCAAUGUCGGCGACUUAGGAGCUGAACUCGCCGAUGUUGGAAGGGAACUCGCCGAUCCGAGUUGAAUUACUCGGCGAGGUCUCUUAAACAUGGGGACACCCCCCUUGCCUUUGGCCGGCGACUUCCCAAGGGGACUCGCCGACUUAAUUGCAAGAGUCGGGGGGAUCUCACCCGGUUCAACAGAAGGCUCUACCACGACAAGAGCCAACGAGUUAUCCGUCAAACUCGCCGAGUCUUUUUGGGAACUCGGCGAGCAUUCAGGAGUUAGCCCG
rnacentral:lncRNA from 1 species